rnacentral:lncRNA from 1 species
GUCACAUUAAAUUGCCCUGGCUGACCUUAACCUUGUGAUACUCCUAUCUUGGCCUUCCAAGUAGCUGGGGUUACAGGCAGGUGUACCAUGGUGUGUACCAUGCACACUGAUGCUCUGCUUUAAAGCCCUCCUGUGACUUGGUUAAGGACACCCACUCUCUGUUUUCCUUUAGGGCUUGAAAUACAUCACUCCAAGCUCUUCUUGCCUUGAGGGUUUGCAUUGAGAAGUCUGCUGUGAUUCUGAUGGGCUUUCCUUUGUAUGUGAUUUGUUUCUUUUCUCUCACUGCUUGUAGAAUUUUAUUCUUCUGUUGGAUUUCUGGAAUCCUAACUAUUAUAUGCCUAUGUGUAGAUGUUUUUUGAUCAAGGCUAGCUGGAGUCCUAUAUGCCUCACUUAUCUGUAUGUGAAGUUCUUUUCCCCUCCUUGGGAAGUUUUCUGCCAUCACUUCUGUGAAGAGUUUUUUUAUGUCAUCUGCACUCUCUCUUUUCUUCAUUGACUCCAGUCAGUCUUAUGUUAUUCUUCUUUGCAUCGUCUAGCAGCUGCUGGAUUGAUUUCUCGUGUUCCCUUAUAAUUUUAAAGCGAUUUUUCUUUUCCUGGUCACUAAUUGCAAUCUUAUCUUCUAUAUGUGAAAUUCUCUCCUCACAUUGGUUCAUUCUGCUGUGCAGACUUUUGAUGGAGUUUUUAAUCUCUUGGAAAUCUGUUUGUAUCUGUUUUAUGGAUUCCAUUUGUUUCCUAUGUUGGGAUUCCAUCAUGUUCCUCAUAUCCUCUAUUUUUUUAUCUGUGUCCUCUCUAGAUUUAUUAAUCAUGUCUUGCACUAUGAGCACAAUCUUUGCUGUUAUCUGAGAAAUUAUUUCUGAUUUCAUUUUUCCCAGAUCCUCUUUUGUUGCCAGUUCAGAGAGUCCAGGUGGUUGAGUAUCAGAUUGUUCCAUCUCGUUUCCCUUUGGAGUUGCUGUAGGUGAUCUGGAACUCUGUUUUUGAGGCUUGUUUAUGUGUUUUCUCAUUUCCAUGGGGGGGGGGGGCUGUGUGCUUCUGGUUCCCACGUGGCUCACCUUCUGUGCCCUAGGAGCUUGGGAUGGCAGCGGGAGAGCUUCCUUCUGGGUUCUGGGACUGGCUCAGUUUCUCUGCCCUAGGAGCUUGGGAUGGUGGCGGGGAGCAUCCUUCCGGGUCCUGGGACUGGCUGAAAUCAGUAUUUCUAUACACCACUCAUGGCAGCCAGGACACAAAGAGAAGGGAGAGUCGAGAUCUCAAUAUUGCCUUCAAAGGCAUGUCCCAUCAGCCUAAAUUCCCACUGGGUUCCACCUUCUGAAGAUUCAAGCAUCUCUCAAUAGCACCAAACAUUUGGGACCAAGACUUCAACACAUGGCCUCUCAGGGAACAUUUAAGAUCCAAAACAUAACACUGCUUUCCCUGCUUUACUGAAUUGGAAUCACCUUCAGAGAAGUCCUCCCUGGUGUCUCAGUACUCCUCAGUUCUUUUUUUUUCCUGGGAUUCAGCACUGGUUCUCCGCAGAAAGCAAAACCCAAACACAGGAGCCAGACACUCAACACUAGUCACAUCAGCCUGCAGAGGAAAAAUUGACAUCCACUCUCUGUACAUUAAGGUCACCUAAUUAAAACCUUAAUUGUAUCUGCUAGCCCCUUUGUCCUGUCGUGUAGCCUCAGGAGAGUUAACACCAGGAGCACAGUUCAUGAGGACCAUCUUAACUCCUGCCUCCCACAAAUAUUCCUAGUUACGCCUUUACAUGUAUUUGUCAUUUUAUCCCUAUUUUUGUCUCCUUGUGUUCAUCUUUUUAUUUAAC